rnacentral:rRNA from 1 species
AUUGAACGCUGGCGGCAUGCUUUACACAUGCAAGUCGAACGGUAACAGGGAGCUUGCUCCGCUGACGAGUGGCGAACGGGUGAGUAAUGCGUCGGAACGUGCCGAGUAGUGGGGGAUAACGCAUCGAAAGGUGUGCUAAUACCGCAUACGUACUGAGGUAGAAAGUGGGGGACCUUCGGGCCUCACGCUAUUCGAGCGGCCGACGUCUGAUUAGCUAGUUGGUGAGGUAAAGGCUCACCAAGGCGACGAUCAGUAGCGGGUCUGAGAGGAUGAUCCGCCACACUGGGACUGAGACACGGCCCAGACUCCUACGGGAGGCAGCAGUGGGGAAUUUUGGACAAUGGGCGCAAGCCUGAUCCAGCCAUGCCGCGUGUCUGAAGAAGGCCUUCGGGUUGUAAAGGACUUUUGUCCGGGAGCAAAUGCUGGUGGCUAACAUCCACCGGAGCUGAGAGUACCGGAAGAAUAAGCACCGGCUAACUACGUGCCAGCCGCCGCAGUAACAC